rnacentral:misc_RNA from 1 species
UGCAGCAGCAUCCAGAAAGCAGGGCUCAAACUAUCUUGACAGUUUGGGAUUUGCUUCCUUAACUGUAUGGAACAUGAAGACAUGGAGGGCUAUGACAGUUCUUCCUCUUGGUGAGGAUCCACCUGCAAUUACUUCCCUAUGCUUCAAUCACAAUGGGAAGAUUUUAGCAGCUGCUGCAACUGAUGGAAUGAUCCACAUGUUUGACAUGUCUGCUGGUCUACAAAUUACUGGGUGGCCUGCACAUGAUUCUGCGAUAAAUUCUAUUCUUUUUGGGCCAGAUGAGACUAGCAUUUUCAGCUUGGGUUCAGAUGGGAAGAUUUUUGAAUGGAGCUUGCAAAACCAAGGUCAUGUUCUUUGGUCAAGGAAUUGUAGCAGGUUUUGUGACCCUGAGACCUCAAAAUAUUAUAGACAUGAAAUGGGUUUGGAUGCAAAUGGAAGGAGACUAUUGGUAACAUCUGGUGCAGUACGAGCACCCAUAUAUCCCCGGACCUGAU